rnacentral:lncRNA from 1 species
UACACAGUGGUUAAAAGGAAAUUCUGACUGAAGCCAAUUUUUUCCUAGUUUAUGCUGUUUAUGCUGUUCUUCCAUCAAGUAAAGUUUAGCCACUCUCAUGAGCUUGUACUAGAUAGGAAUGAAUUUGAAGAAUGCAUUGAUACUUUUGUUUUAUUUCAGCAAACUUCAGAAGACAAAGAGGGAUAUCAGAUGGCUUCAAGGAGUGACUGGUGAAUGGUUUGAAGAAAUUCAAAGAAAAAAGUUUUGCAAUGAAACAGAUGUUAGUCAAAUGUUCAAACAACCACUGAUGUACAGGCUAAGGAAGGAGAUGGCAAAAAAGGAUCCUAUGGAAUUACAAACAUCAAGAUCUAAUAAUGUAACUAAUCGAAAAACCCCAACAUCUGUUCCUUCUCAGCUGAGCUUCAGAUCAUCAUUCACUUCCCUGUUUUCAUUCAGAAAACCUGGGAGAGACUCUUUAAAGCUUCAAUCACUGGGACAGAAAGGCUUUAUCCUGGGGCUCUUUUUGUCUGAUGAGAUCAUGAAGAGUUGAGCAAAAUGUAGAUUUACAUGACUGUCCUUGCCAGAGUCACUUGUCAGGAAACACUCUUCUAAUAGGUGAGUUGCCUUUCUUUGUAAAAAUGUUUAAGAUAUUAGUAAUUCUGUCAUUUGGGGAAUUUGAAAUUGAAGAGUAUUUCCUACAUAGAAAAUAUUUUUUUAAAGAGAAGUGAAUAUUGGCGCCAGGGAUUUACCUCAGUGGUUCCGCCGCCUGCCCCCCAAGCGCAAGAACCGGAGUUCGAUCCCCGGUACCAAAAAAAAAAAAAGAGAGAGAGAAAAGAAUAUUCCCAGUUUGUGGUAUUGCUAGGAUUUAUAAUGUAAUUUGUAUUAAAAGUGAUUUUCUUUACAGCAGAGAUCAAUAUAGACUCAUAAUCUAACAUUAAUAAACUAGGAAAAGUUAAGAAACCUGUUAAUUCCAGGUGCAAGUUAUUUCCAAGGUCAUAUUGCAAGUUCCUGCAUUAUGUGUUUUGGCUGUAGGUCAGAUUGGAAAAAAAAAUUAAAACUUGCAAAAUUCUGUUUAGCAAAUAUUCUUUGAUACUUAUGAGUUAUUCUCUUUUAAACAAACUGAAACAUACAACACAGCAUGCAGAAGUGAAACUAAUUCAUUAUUUCAUUAAGUAAAUUUCACAAGUGUCCAGCAGUUUUCAGAAUUUAUUAUCUUUAAAUAUAUUUUACUUGGUGGAAGGGUGAAUUUUUCUAUUUUAUUAUUAGUUGGUGUUGUUAAUCUCUUGCUGUGCCUAAUUUAUAAAUUAAACUGUCAUAGGUAUGUAUGUUUAGAGAAAAACAUAAUAUAUAAGGUUUUGGUUUUACUCGUGGUUUCUGGCAUCCAACGGGAUCUUGGAAUGUGUCUCCCUUCCCUAGGAUAUGGGGAAAUUAUAGUAUAUAGUAUCCUGAAGCUUUGAUUUCCUGCUUUCAAUAGAUAAAAACCCAUGGGAAUACCAUGACCUUGUGAAUUUAUUAAAAGGCAAAAAGAUUCACGCAUGAUUUCUUCCUCCUCCCAUCCUUAUACUAUACUCAAAUUAUCCCAUUAAGGGUUUAAUGCUAUUUGUGAAUGAUUGGCCUGACCCAAACUCCAGGAAACAAGAAAACUAUUUUCCAUUUGUGUUUUUUGUAUUGCUCACCAAAAAAACCUCAAGAAAAGUCUACAUAUAUGGCCUCUAGCUUUCUUCCCUCCCUAACAUUUUACUGUAGGUGAUGUUUCCUCACAUCAUCUUAUGGGUUAGCUGGUAGAUAUAACCUAUGGCUCCACCACUGAAUUUCAGUAAUUUAUGUCUCACACAUUCCCUCCCUGUAGUUCAGAAAAUAUCCAGUAAUGUACAGCAUGAGCUUAUAGAUGCAAUCUUUGUGGCUGCGAAGUAGAACUGCAUAUUUCCUUUCUGGGUCCAAGCCCUAGUUAUUCCAGGGUUGCCCUCCUCCCACCACAAAGAGGUGAUGUGCCUUGCU